ensembl:lncRNA
GGUACACAGAAACUUGCAGCUUUUUCCAUGAAAGACUCUCUUAUCCUGCACGUAGCACACACGUGCACAAGCAAAUAGCUCUGCCAGGGGCUGUCAUCACACAAAAGCAAGAGGUUCACAGUCCCGAGUCAGACUUAGAUCUGCAAAGAGAGAAGCAGUAGGAGGAAUAUAUUAAGAUCAGUAAGAAUGAAGUACCCUAUUUUAUCCACCCGUGUAAUAAAUUAUUUAGUUUCUGCUUUAUGGAUGACUAUUUGAAAGAAGAAAAACCAACUCUUCUAAAAUGAGAAUCUGAUAAAGUAUCUUUUAUCUUGGCUCUGAAUCAUGCUUACAUUCCAUAGAUGAAGAUGUACAGAACUUGCUGGUUUUCAAUCUAUUAUUUUACUGCACCGAGUUCUGACAGUGCAAUUACAUUUCCUUGGCAUCACUUAGAACCUAUUACUUUCCCAGGAACUAAGGAAUUUAAUACAGAAAAAGAAAAGGCUCAAAACACUUUUAUCUUUCUGUGUUGUUGGUUGUUAUCAAGAACAAAUCUUGUUUAUCUCUGGUUCACGUAGGAUAUUUUAGGCAGCUCUACAAAAUGUAGAGAUUCAUCAAGAGCAAGAUGGACAGAAAAUCUGACAACAACACUUUAAUUGGAAGAAUACUUUACUCCUAUCUCUCCAGUGGCAAAAGUCUGAAAAACUGUCUCAAUUUGGUAUCUUCUCCAGUAAAGAAUUUCAGCCCCAAAAGAGAGGAGAAGAGAGGAAAUAGGAGAAAAAAGUAAAUCCUUUGAAUCUAACAAUGAACUCUUGACAAUUUGAUCAUGAGAAUACCUUAGGAUUUGUAUUUUCUGCCAAGACAGACCAAAAUAACUUUGUAGCCUUGAAGAGCAUUGUUAAAUGAAACUUCCAUUUUCCAUCCAGUUAUUUUGUACAGCUGCUCAUGGCCAGACUUUGCCAGCAUCACAAAUAAGCAUCUUCAAACUUAACUCAUUGUACAGUGUGUUAGGUGAGCUCCAAACUGCAAAUUUCCAUUAUCAGCUGGUCUUCUGUCUUCACUGGCCAGCAAGUAGACAUUUGGCUGUCCCAUUUGAAGCUGUUGAGCUUGCUCUAGUAGCUACCCCUCUGGUCUUGCCAGCACUUAGGCAUAUCUUGUUUGUCCUGUGAGCAGUCCCACCAAACCCAAACUGUGCUGCCAACGUGCUUGCAGCAUCAGGCCCCUGGGGUUGCCAUUUGACAGCAAUCUUCAAAUAAAGGCACAUUCCACCAGCCCAAGAAUAGCAUUACGUUUCCCACCAUCUCUGUCAGAGGAGCCAAAGUUAUUUCAGCUUCGUGCAGCAGCUCUUGUUCUCAGAUUUUAAUUGGGGUGGUGGGAGGAAAAAAACUGAAGUUCCUCUCGGACUCCAGAGUAAAUGAGAAGUAACUCAUUAGAGUUAAUUGGCUUAAACUGGGAUAAGCCCAGAAUCCAGCCUGUUGCCAUUUAAUCCGUGCUAGGAUCUAAGUAAUCGAUAACUCCUGAUUCAUCUCUAGGAAGUGCUUCAUUAAUGCAUUAGUCUCCUUCUUGUCAUCGUUUCAUCUCUCACUGGUUUCAAGCCAUUUACCACCCAUUGUUGAAAACUGACCAUUUCUGCUUGUUAACAGAAGACAUGGCAUUUUGAUUAUAGUCAACAACUCACAAAGUCAGCAGCAUAAUAGUAAAAAAUAAAAAAUAGAGAUCACUUUGUACAAAACACUGUAAAUAUUAAUAUAAAUUAACUUGGCAUGCAACUUAAAUAAAUCCAAUGUUAUUGCAAGUUACCCAAGUGUAUAAAGACGUGUAAAAAAGGAAAACCGAAUGCCAUAUGUAUCGGCUGUUUCCUCUAACCAAACACUACUGUAAAUACAUAAUCUGUAUAAAAAGAUUUUAAUUUUACCAUUAUUUAUGCAAUAGAAAUAAAGGUUUUUUUCUUUUG